rnacentral:rRNA from 1 species
UCAUGCAUUAUCAGAACUGUAGGGACGCAUGUGGAAAGCACGAGCCGGGAAUGGAAAGACCGGUACAAGCGGGGUAGGUGUACAAUAGGCAAAUCCGUUGUAUGAUCCGAAGACGUGAUGUGGAGCGAAAUAAAGUAGUAAAGCGUGUGAGCCAUGUGCCGAGAAAAGCCGCUAUUGUGUAAUGCGUGCCCGUACAGUAAACCGACACAGGUGGAUGAGGAGAGAAUCCCAAGGCCGACGGAAGAAGCAUUGUUAAGGAAUUCGGCAAAAUGACCCCGUAACUUCGGGAGAAGGGGUGCCUGCGAGAGCAGGCCGCAGAGAAUAGGCUCAGGCAACUGUUUAGCAAAAACACAGGUCUAUGCGAAACCGAAAGGUGAAGUAUAUGGGCUGACGCCUGCCCGGUGCUGGAAGGUUAUGAGGAGAGGUUAGCGUAAGCGAAGCUUUGAAUUUAAGCCCCAGUAAACGGCGGCCGUAACAAUAACGGUCCUAAGGUAGCGAAAUUCCUUGUCGGGUAAGUUCCGACCCGCACGAAAGGCGUAAUGAUUUGAGCACUGUCUCGACAAUGCAUCCGGUGAAAUUGAAGUACCAGUGAAGAUGCUGGUUACCCGCGCCAGGACGGAAAGACCCCAUGGAGCUUUACUCCAGUUUGAUACUGGGAUUCGGUACUGCAUGUACAGGAUAGGUGGGAGACGAAGAAGGAUGGACGCCAGUCUGUCCGGAGUCGCUGUUGGGAUACCACCCCUGUAGUACUGGGUUUCUAACCAGUUGCCAUGAACUGGCAAUGGGACAAUGUCAGGCGGGGAGUUUGACUGGGGCGGUCGCCUCCGAAAGGGUAUCGGAGGCGCUCAAAGGUUCCCUCAGAAUGGUUGGAAACCAUUUGAAGAGUGCAAAGGCAGAAGGGAGCUUGACUGCGACACCGACGGGUGGAGCAGGUACGAAAGUAGGACUUAGUGAUCCGGUGGUAUAAAGUGGGAUUGCCAUCGCUCAACGGAUAAAAGCUACCCUGGGAUAACAGGCUUAUCACUCCCAAGAGUUCACAUCGACGGAGUGGUUUGGCACCUCGAUGUCGGCUCAUCGCAUCCUGGGGCUGUAGCAGGUCCCAAGGGUUGGGCUGUUCGCCCAUUAAAGCGGUACGCGAGCUGGGUUCAGAACGUCGUGAGACAGUUCGGUCCCUAUCCGGCGCGGGCGGAGGAUAUUUGAGAGGAGCUGUCCUUAGUACGAGAGGACCGGGAUGGACGGACCACUGGUGUAUCUGUUGUCGACCAACGGCAUGGCAGAGUAGCCAAGUCUGGAAGGGAUAAACGCUGAAGGCAUCUAAGCGUGAAGCCCCCCUCAAGAUGAGAUAUCCCUCCUUCGGGAGUAAGACCCCUUGAAGACUACAAGGUAGAUAGGGCAGAGGUGGAAGCAUGGCAACAUGUGGAGCUGACUGUUACUAAUAGGUCGAGGGC